AUACCGAAACAACAAAAUGAUAUCUAUUUCCCUGCGAUAAUCACUACAAACAAAACACAAGCUCCAACUCCCCUUAUUGAUUGGGAAAGGAGCUGAGUGUGAGGCAGAACCCUAAACCCACUUUCAAUUCCGCAUUCGGCAGCCAAGAGAGACGAGAAAGACGGCGGUUUGUGAGGGGGUGAUAAUCGUUCUUUGUUGUUCGUUUCUUUAAUGGCAAUACCCAUGUCCCUUAUUCCCUGUUCCAGUUUUGCUUCUUAUUCUUCCUCCUCGUUUCCAUUGCAAUCUCGUAAUCCCUUCAAGCCCCAUCGCCAUGGUUUAAAGACGGAUAAUCCCACCUCAAAUGGGUCGCUCGUUGUUAGCUGUUCCGGUCGCGAACUGGGUUCCAACUCUGACCCUUUGAACGGAAGCAUGAAGCAUCAGAUAUCAUCUAUGGCUCCUAGCGGGAUGACACUAAAUGAAGCUUCCAUGUCCAUGCCAUCGUAUAAAUGGCGAAGAGUAUUGCUUAAAGUAAGCGGUGAAGCACUUGCUGGUGAUCGGUUGCAGAAUAUUGAUCCGAAGGUUACUAUGGCGAUUGCGAGGGAGGUUGCAGCUGUAACGCGUCUGGGCAUUGAGGUUGCUAUAGUAGUCGGUGGGGGUAACAUUUUCCGUGGAUCGUCGUGGGCUGGAUGUAGUGGCUUAGACCGUUCAUCUGCUGAUUACAUUGGGAUGUUGGCAACAGUGAUGAAUGCUAUAUUUCUUCAAGCCACAAUGGAGAGUAUAGGCAUUCCCACACGAGUGCAGACGGCGUUUCGUAUGUCUGAGGUUGCGGAGCCAUAUAUUCGACGUAGGGCUGUGAGGCACUUGGAAAAAGGCAGAGUUGUGAUCUUUGCAGCUGGUAUAGGCAAUCCGUUUUUCACUACAGAUACUGCAGCGGCCCUCCGUUGCGCAGAAAUUAAUGCAGAAGUUCUGCUGAAAGCAACAAACGUUGACGGGGUUUAUGAUGAUGAUCCGAAACAAAACACGAAUGCACGUCUACUCGAGAAUCUUUCAUACCAGGAAGUGACGUCGAAGGACCUUUCAGUGAUGGAUAUGACAGCGAUUACUCUAUGCCAGGAAAACAACAUUCCUGUUGUUGUCUUCAAUCUAACAAAACCUGACAACAUCUCGAAAGCCAUAAAGGGCGAGAGAGUCGGGACGUUGAUCGGAGGAACAUGGAACUCAAACGUAACAAGUACGUGACAGACGAUUCUUGUAUAGUAGGGAUUUGACAGGAGAUUUUGAGCAAUAUCUAUAUAUAUUUUCAUAUUGAUAGCUUUCGGAACAAUUUGCACGAGAUUAUUUAAGGUAUUGAAAUCUUUUUGUAAGAUCUAAAUCUCAUCGCUAGUAGAUAUUGUCUGCUCUAUUUCAUACA